GAAAAGUCUCCGAAUUGGACCGAGGUUUUGGCUACCCCCCCAUUGUCAGACGUCCCGAGCGCGUUCCAGAAGUCGGAAUCGGCAAAGGUGAGCCGGGACAGCCUUCUUCCUCCGCCCAGCCGCCACAGUGACCGUUGUCAAGUCUGUGAGUAAAAUAUUAAUUUUAAUUGUAAUUUCACUAUUAUUAUAUGUUCAAGCAUGUCCAUGCAUCACUUAUAUGCAUAUAUCUAUGUAGAUAAAAUUUAGGCACGAUUUAUGUUGCAUUCAUAACUGUGAAAGUGCCAUGUAUGUUGUUGUGGUAAUUUGGCGCAGUGUGCGUGCGUUGGCGUGCGUGUGAUGUGGUGUGGACUAUGGAUAGGACGGGUAGACACGGCUUGAGAUCUUCGCUGGGACCCCGAUUUGGUUAUUAAGUGGAAGUCCGAGCUGAGUUCUUCGCUGGCACAGUUGGAAUUAAGAGAGCUGUAUAGGGGAUCAGCUCCCAUAUAUAUAUGAUUGAUAUUGCUGGGUGCGUGAGUGCUCCAAAUUACCUUUUUGCUGUUAUGAUGUGAAUUUAUUGCUGAUGCUGCAUUUCACUCUACAGGGUGCAUUAGUUUUAGAUAGUUAUAGAGAUUAUGGUUAAAAUUGAUAUUUUACUCUCUGAGUCGAACGCUCACUCCUGUUCAAUAUUUUUUCAGGCCACAGGAGGAUAUUUUUGAGAUUAACCUGCUUUCUUCAUCGCAGGUCGAUUAUUAAUGUUUGUAUAAACUUGUUAAAUCUUAGAAUUUCCGCAUGUGUUAGAAAUGUUUAUUUGAUUUGGGUCUGUAAAUUAAAUUAUUAUUUUAGACCUGUAAACUUAAUAGUCUAUGCAUGUUUGAUGGAUUGGAUGAGGGAGCUGAGCUCCUAUUUAUUUUUA